CGUGCCAGCAGCCGCGGUAAUACGGAGGGUGCGAGCGUUACAUCGGAAUUACUGGGCGUAAAGCGUGCGUAGGCGGCCUGUUAAGUCAGAUGUGAAAGCCCUGGGCUCAACCUGGGAACGGCAUUUGAAACUGGCAGGCUAGAGUUAGGUAGAGGGGAGUGGAAUUUCAGGUGUAGCGGUGAAAUGCGUAGAUAUCUGAAGGAACACCAGUGGCGAAGGCGGCUCCCUGGACCCAAACUGACGCUGAGGUACGAAAGCGUGGGUAGCAAACAGGAUUAGAUACCCUGGUAGUCCACGCCGUAAACGAUGUCGACUAGCCGUUGGUCUUCUACGGAAGAUUAGUGGCGCAGCUAACGCAUUAAGUCGACCGCCUGGGGAGUACGGCCGCAAGGUUAAAACUCAAAUGAAUUGACGGGGGCCCGCACAAGCGGUGGAGCAUGUGGUUUAAUUCGAUGCAACGCGAAGAACCUUACCUACCCUUGACAUCCUCAGAAUUUGGCAGAGAUGCCUUAGUGCCUUCGGGAACUGAGAGACAGGUGCUGCAUGGCUGUCGUCAGCUCGUGUUGUGAAAUGUUGGGUUAAGUCCCGUAACGAGCGCAACCCUCAUCCUUAGUUGCCAGCGGGUUAAGCCGGGAACUCUAGGGAGACUGCCGGUGAUAAACCGGAGGAAGGUGGGGACGACGUCAAGUCAUCAUGGCCCUUAUGGGUAGGGCUACACACGUGCUACAAUGGCCGGUACAGAGGGCUGCGAACUUGCAAAAAGUAAGCUAAUCCCACAAAGCCGGUCUUAGUCCGGAUUGAGGUCUGCAACUCGACCUCAUGAAGUCGGAAUCGCUAGUAAUCGCGGAUCAAAUGCCGCGGUGAAAUACGUUCCCCGGGGCCUU
rnacentral:rRNA from 1 species